rnacentral:rRNA from 1 species
UACGUAGGGGGCGAGCGUUGUCCGGAGUUACUGGGCGUAAAGGGCGUGCAGGCGGUGCGGUAAGUUUGGAGUGACAGUCCCCGGCUUAACUGGGGAAGGCCUCGCAAAAACUGCCGGACUUGAGGGCCAGAGAGGGACAUAGAAUUCCGGGUGGAGUGGUGAAAUGCGUAGAUAUCCGGAGGAAUACCAAAGGCGAAGGCAGUGUCCUGGCUGGCAACUGACGCUGAGGCGCGAAAGCUAGGGGAGCGAACAGG